rnacentral:rRNA from 1 species
CCUUUACGGCGGGCAUACAAUGCAAGUCUAACGGGAAUGUCGGCUUCGGCUGGCUAGUACCGUGGCGAACGGGUGAGUAACACGUGGGUAAUCUAACCUCGAGUUUGGGAUAACCUUGCGAAAGCGGGGCUAAUACCGAAUAAGACCACGCUUUGUACGCGGAGCGCGGUAAAAGGUGGCCUCUUCCUGAAAGCUAUCACUUGAGGAUGAGCCCGCGGCCUAUUAGCUAGUUGGUGGGGUAAUGGCCCACCAAGGCGACGAUGGGUAGCCGGCCUGAGAGGGCGUACGGCCACACUGGCACUGAGAUACGGGCCAGACUCCUACGGGAGGCAGCAGUGGGGAAUUUUGCGCAAUGGGGGAAACCCUGACGCAGCAACGCCGCGUGAGUGAUGAAGGCCUUCGGGUCGUAAAGCUCUUUUAGUGGGGAAGAAGCCCACCUGGACGAAUACUCCGGGUGAAUGACGGUACCCACAGAAAAAGUUCCGGCUAACUACGUGCCAGCAGCCGCGGUAAUACGUAGGGAGCAAGCGUUGUUCGGAAUUAUUGGGCGUAAAGAGCGCGUAGGCGGUUCGGUAAGUCUGACGUGAAAUCCCGGAGCUCAACUCCGGAACUGCGUUGGAUACUGCCGGGCUUGAGUGUGGGAGAGGAGAGUGGAAUUCCCAGUGUAGAGGUGAAAUUCGUAGAUAUUGGGAGGAACACCCGUGGCGAAGGCGGCUCUCUGGACCACAACUGACGCUGAGGCGCGAAAGCUAGGGUAGCAAACGGGAUUAGAUACCCCGGUAGUCCACGCCGUAAACGAUGAGCACUAGGUGUAGCGGGUAUUGACCCCUGCUGUGCCGUAGCUAACGCAUUAAGUGCUCCGCCUGGGGAUUACGGUCGCAAGACUAAAACUCAAAGGAAUUGACGG